rnacentral:ncRNA from 2 species
CUCCGUUCUCAGGGCGGGGUGAAACUCCCCACCGGCGGUAAGCGGCUUGAGCUGCAAGCCCGCGAGCGCGCUCCUUUUUGAGCGGUCAUGCAGAUCAGGUGAGAUUCCUGGGCCGACGGUCAUAGUCCGGAUGAAAGAGAAACUGCG